GGGGAGACCUUAAGCUAAG
rnacentral:snRNA from 1 species